rnacentral:rRNA from 1 species
UCUAAGUAUAACCUGCCAGACAGGGAAACUGCGUACGGCUCAUUACACCAGCCUUAAUUUACUUGACCUUGACAACCUACUUGGAUAACUGUGGUAAUUCUAGAGCUAAUACAUGCACCAAAGCUCCGAUCCUCGCGGAGAGGAGCGCAUUUGUUCGCCACAUAACCAAGCGCCCAUCUGGGCGUCCAGUGCUGAACCAGAACAACUCAGCUGAUCGCACGGUCUUGUACCGGCGACGUGUCUUUCAAGUGUCUGCCUUAUCAACUUUCGAUGGUAGUGUACCUGACUACCAUGGUUGUGACGGGUAACGGAGGAUAAGGGUUCGACUCCGGAGAAGGGGCCUGAGAAAUGGCCACUACGUCUAAGGAUGGCAGCAGGCGCGCAAAUUACCCACUCUCAACGCGAGGAGGUAGUGACGAGAAAUAACGAGACCGUUCUCAUACGAGGCCGGUUAUUGGAAUGGGUACAAUUUAAA